CCUACGGGCGGCUGCAGUGGGGAAUAUUGGACAAUGGGGGGAACCCUGAUCCAGCCAUGCCGCGUGUGUGAAGAAGGCCCUCGGGUUGUAAAGCACUUUCAGUGAGGAAGAACGCCUGGUGGUUAAUACCCAUCAGGAAAGACAUCACUCACAGAAGAAGCACCGGCUAACUCCGUGCCAGCAGCCGCGGUAAUACGGAGGGUGCGAGCGUUAAUCGGAAUUACUGGGCGUAAAGCGCGCGUAGGUGGCUUGAUAAGCCGGUUGUGAAAGCCCCGGGCUCAACCUGGGAACGGCAUCCGGAACUGUCAAGCUAGAGUGUAGGAGAGGAAGGUAGAAUUCCCGGUGUAGCGGUGAAAUGCGUAGAGAUCGGGAGGAAUACCAGUGGCGAAGGCGGCCUUCUGGACUGACACUGACACUGAGGUGCGAAAGCGUGGGUAGCAAACAGGAUUAGAUACCCGGGUAGUC
rnacentral:rRNA from 1 species